rnacentral:rRNA from 1 species
GACGAACGCUGGCGGCGUGCUUAACACAUGCAAGUCGAACGGAAAGGCCCUGCUUUUGUGGGGUGCUCGAGUGGCGAACGGGUGAGUAACACGUGAGUAACCUGCCCUUGACUUUGGGAUAACUUCAGGAAACUGGGGCUAAUACCGGAUAGGAGCUCCUGCUGCAUGGUGGGGGUUGGAAAGUUUCGGCGGUUGGGGAUGGACUCGCGGCUUAUCAGCUUGUUGGUGGGGUAGUGGCUUACCAAGGCUUUGACGGGUAGCCGGCCUGAGAGGGUGACCGGCCACAUUGGGACUGAGAUACGGCCCAGACUCCUACGGGAGGCAGCAGUGGGGAAUAUUGCACAAUGGGCGGAAGCCUGAUGCAGCAACGCCGCGUGCGGGAUGACGGCCUUCGGGUUGUAAACCGCUUUCGCCUGUGACGAAGCGUGAGUGACGGUAAUAGGUAAAGAAGCACCGGCUAACUACGUGCCAGCAGCCGCGGUGAUACGUAGGGUGCGAGCGUUGUCCGGAUUUAUUGGGCGUAAAGGGCUCGUAGGUGGUUGAUCGCGUCGGAAGUGUAAUCUUGGGGCUUAACCCUGAGCGUGCUUUCGAUACGGGUUGACUUGAGGAAGGUAGGGGAGAAUGGAAUUCCUGGUGGAGCGGUGGAAUGCGCAGAUAUCAGGAGGAACACCAGUGGCGAAGGCGGUUCUCUGGGCCUUUCCUGACGCUGAGGAGCGAAAGCGUGGGGAGCGAACAGGCUUAGAUACCCUGGUAGUCCACGCUGUAAACGGUGGGUACUAGGUGUGGGGUCCAUUCCACGGGUUCCGUGCCGUAGCUAACGCUUUAAGUACCCCGCCUGGGGAGUACGGCCGCAAGGCUAAAACUCAAAGGAAUUGACGGGGCCCCGCACAAGCGGCGGAGCAUGCGGAUUAAUUCGAUGCAACGCGUAGAACCUUACCUGGGUUUGACAUGGAUCGGGAGUGCUCAGAGAUGGGUGUGCCUCUUUUGGGGUCGGUUCACAGGUGGUGCAUGCCUGUCGUCAGCUCGUGUCGUGAGAUGUUGGGUUAAGUCCCGCAACGAGCGCAACCCUUGUUCACUGUUGCCAGCACGUUAUGGUGGGGACUCAGUGGAGACCGCCGGGGUCAACUCGGAGGAAGGUGGGGAUGACGUCAAGUCAUCAUGCCCCUUAUGUCCAGGGCUUCACGCAUGCUACAAUGGCUGGUACAGAGAGUGGCGAGCCUGUGAGGGUGAGCGAAUCUCGGAAAGCCGGUCUCAGUUCGGAUUGGGGUCUGCAACUCGACCUCAUGAAGUCGGAGUCGCUAGUAAUCGCAGAUCAGCAACGCUGCGGUGAAUACGUUCCCGGGGCU